rnacentral:rRNA from 1 species
UUCACGAUCACCAACGUCUACGCCCCUGCGGACCAUAGCCUGACGGCUGCCUUCGUUGAUGAUCUCACUGUGGUUGCCGAGACUGUCUCGGGGCCGUGGCUCCUGCUCGGGGAUUUUAACCUGAUUCGGUUCCCUCACGAGAAGAACAAUGAUCAGUUCGACGCCCCGCGCGCGGCGACUUUCAACUCUCUGAUCAACACCCUGGCUCUCCAUGAGCUGGCUCUGUCCGAUCGUUGUUUUACCUGGACUAACAAACGUGACCCCCCCAACUCUGGCUCGCCUGGACCGAGUCUUCUAUGA